GUCACCUGACAUUGUCUUGUAGAUGGUUCCAGUCCAAAAAAGAUGAAAGGAAUUACAGAACAAGUGACUCAUAUUGUAUGCAAAAAUUUUAGAGGGGCUGCAGAUAUAUAUUGAUUUUUAUGGGAUAAAAAGGUAAUCUCCCUUCUUGAGGAGAUACUGACUUCACAAGCUUUAUCUUGUUGUGUCAAAGUGAUUGGAGAAGUUUAGAAUCAGCUUUAUCCACGUAGACAUGGAAUGAAGAACAAUAUACAAGUUCCACAGGAGAUAAAUUGUGAAGUAGGCAGCAAUGGCGGCAACUAUGGCAGUUUAUGGGCUUUAUCCAGGUAGACAUGGAAUGAAGAACAGUAUACAGGUUCUAUAGGAGAUAAAUUGUGAAAUGUGAAGUCGGCAGCUAUGGCGGCAACUAUGGCAGUUUAAUGCGUGAUUGCAGGGGAUUUGCUAUGCUACCAGAUUUCUUAAAAAAGUGGUUGAC
rnacentral:lncRNA from 1 species